rnacentral:rRNA from 1 species
CUUGAACGCUGGCGGCAGGCCUAACCCAUGCAAGUCGAGCGGAGCGGCGGACGGGUGAGUAAUGGCUAGGAAACUGCCUGGUAGUGGGGGAUAACGUCCGGAAACGGGUGCUAGUACCGAUUAUUAUCAUAUGAGCCUCGGUCGGAUUAGCUAGUUGGUGGGUUAAAGGCCUACCAGGGCGACGAUCCGUAACUGGUGUGAGAGAAUGAUCAGCCACACUGGAACUGAGACACGGACCAGACGACGGAGUGAGGCAGCAGAGAGGAAUAUUGUGCAAUAGGUGAAAGCCUUGUCCAACACUUCCGCAUGUGAGAAGAAAGUCUUCGGAUUGUAAUGCACUUUAAGUUGGGAGACGUUACCAGCAGAAUAAGCACCGGCUAACUUCGUGCCAGCAGCCGCGGUAAUUC